rnacentral:rRNA from 1 species
AUUGAACGCUGGCGGCAUGCCUUACACAUGCAAGUCGAACGGCAGCACGGGGCAACCUGGUGGCGAGUGGCGAACGGGUGAGUAAUGCAUCGGAACGUACCUUUCAGUGGGGGAUAACGUAGCGAGAGUUACGCUACUACCGCAUAUUCUGUGAGCAGGAAAGCAGGGGAUCGCAAGACCUUGCGCUGAUUGAGCGGCCGAUGUCAGGUUAGCUAGUUGAUGGGGGAAAGGCUCACCAAGGCGACGAGCUGUAGCGGGUCUGAGAGGAUGAUCCGCCACACUGGAACUGAGACACGGUCCAGACUCCUACGGGAGGCAGCAGUGGGGAAUUUUGGACAAUGGGGGCAACCCUGAUCCAGCCAUGCCGCGUGAGUGAAGAAGGCCUUCGGGUUGUAAAGCUCUUUCGGCCGGGAAGAAAUCGCACGGGCUAAUACCCUGUGUGGAUGACGGUACCGGAAUAAGAAGCACCGGCUAACUACGUGCCAGCAGCCGCGGUAACAC